rnacentral:rRNA from 1 species
ACACUCCUACGGGAGGCAGCAGUAGGGAAUCUUCGGCAAUGGGGGCAACCCUGACCGAGCAACGCCGCGUGAGUGAAGAAGGUUUUCGGAUCGUAAAGCUCUGUUGUAAGUCAAGAACGAGUGUGAGAGUGGAAAGUUCACACUGUGACGGUAGCUUACCAGAAAGGGACGGCUAACUACGUGCCAGCAGCCGCGGUAAUACGUAGGUCCCGAGCGUUGUCCGGAUUUAUUGGGCGUAAAGCGAGCGCAGGCGGUUUGAUAAGUCUGAAGUUAAAGGCUGUGGCUCAACCAUAGUUCGCUUUGGAAACUGUCAAACUUGAGUGCAGAAGGGGAGAGUGGAAUUCCAUGUGUAGCGGUGAAAUGCGUAGAUAUAUGGAGGAACACCGGUGGCGAAAGCGGCUCUCUGGUCUGUAACUGACGCUGAGGCUCGAAAGCGUGGGGAGCGAACAGGAUUAGAUACCCCUGUAGUCCCAUGAU